AGGAUCAACGCUGGCGGCGUGCAUGAGACAUGCAAGUCAAACGGACGAUCAAAGCUUGCUUUGUUCGUUAGUGGCGAACGGCUGAGUAACGCGUGGGUGACCUGCCCCGAAGUGGGGAAUAACUGCCCGAAAGGGUGGCUAAUACCGCAUGUGGUGGUGCGUUCAAUCGCACCAGUAAAGCCGCAAGGCGCUUCGGGAGGGGCCUGCGUCCGAUUAGCUCGUUGGUGGGGUAACGGCUUACCAAGGCGACGAUCGGUAGGUGGUCUGAGAGGACGAUCACCCAGACUGGGACUGAGACACGGCCCAGACUCCUACGGGAGGCAGCAGUCGGGAAUUUUGCGCAAUGGACGAAAGUCUGACGCAGCAACGCCGCGUGGGGGAUGAAGGCCUUCGGGUUGUAAACCCCUUUUCUCAGGGACGAUAAUGACGGUACCUGAGGAAUAAGCCACGGCUAACUACGUGCCAGCAGCCGC
rnacentral:rRNA from 1 species